rnacentral:rRNA from 1 species
UACUUUAGCGCAGCGAAGCAAACCGGGAGAACUGAAACAUCUAAGUACCCCGAGGAAGAGAAAUCAACCGAGAUCCCGAAAGUAGCGGCGAGCGAAAUUGGGUUAGCCCUUAAGUUGUUAAUGAGACAGGUGAAGCCUCUGGAAAGUGGCGCGAUACAAGGUGAUAGCCCUGUAACCGACAUCUCAUCAUCAGUGAAAACGAGUAAGGCGGGACACGUGAUAUCCUGUCUGAAUAUGGGGGGACCAUCCUCCAAGGCUAAAUACUACUGACUGACCGAUAGUGAACCAGUACCGUGAGGGAAAGGCGAAAAGAACCCCUGUGAGGGGAGUGAAAUAGAACCUGAAACCGUGUACGUACAAGCAGUAGGAGCAUACUUGUUAUGUGACUGCGUACCUUUUGUAUAAUGGGUCAGC